AUCCAUGCCAUGUUAGGGAUGGAACCAAUCCUCCCCACCCCUGUGUGCAAAAUCCCACUGCCACAGCCCAACACGGACCAUGACAAGUUAGUCUGGACAUCAUGCUGCCACUAUGACUCUUAAAGAUAUCUGAAAGUCACCCGUGGAACCCGAGGUGAGGAUUCACCAAAUGAGAAUGACCUCACCAGGCAUAAAGUGAACCCCUGGAGAAGGUGUGUGCUGAGUUCAUCAGAGGUGCACAGGAAAAGACUCCGAGUGAAAGGAUACAGUCACACGCCUACUAAGACCCGGAGAAACCGUGUCCUUGUGUGUGGCUGGCAGUCGGCUGUGGAUCUGAAGGACUCUCACUGGGGCAAGCCUGCAGCAGGACCGAAGGCCUCCGGCUGA
rnacentral:lncRNA from 1 species